rnacentral:rRNA from 1 species
UACAGAGGUCCCGAGCGUUGUUCGGAUUCACUGGGCGUCAAGGGUGCGUAGGUGGCGUGGUAAGUUUGAUGUGAAAGCUCAGGGCUUAACCCUGAAAUGGCAUUGAAUACUACUGUGCUGGAGGUUUGGAGGGGGGACUGGAAUUCUUGGUGUAGCAGUGAAAUGCGUAGAUAUCAAGAGGAACACCAGUGGCGAAGGCGAGUCCCUGGACAACACCUGACACUGAGGCACGAAAGCGUGGGGAUCAAACAGG